UACGUAGGAGGCAAGCGUUGUCCGGAAUUACUGGGUGUAAAGCGCGUGUAGGUGGUGGGCCAAGUCUGUGGUGAAAUCGCCCGGCUCAACUGGGCGAGGUCCGUGGAAACUGGUCGACUGGAGGACGGUAGAGGCGAGUGGAAUUCCCGGUGUAGUGGUGAAAUGCGUAGAGAUCGGGAGGAACACCAGUGGCGAAGGCGGCUCGCUGGGCCGGUCCUGACACUGAGACGCGAAGGCGUGGGGAGCGAACAGG
rnacentral:rRNA from 1 species